GCGGCAAUUCCAGUUCCUAAUUGCCGUAUAAUAAAGUUGUUGUGGUUAAAAAGCUCGUAGUUGAACCUUGGGCCUGGCCGUCCGGUCCGCCUCACCGCGUGUACUGGCUCGGCCGGGCCUUUCCCUCUGUGGAACCCCAUGCCCUUCACUGGGCGUGGCGGGGAAACAGGACUUUUACUGUGAAAAAAUUAGAGUGCUCCAGGCAGGCCUAUGCUCGAAUACAUUAGCAUGGAAUAAUAGAAUAGGACGUGUGGUUCUAUUUUGUUGGUUUCUAGGACCGCCGUAAUGAUUAAUAGGGACAGUCGGGGGCAUCAGUAUUCAAUUGUCAGAGGUGAAAUUCUUGGAUUUAUUGAAGACUAACUACUGCGAAAGCAUUUGCCAAGGAUGUUUUCAUUAAUCAGGAACGAAAGUUAGGGGAUCGAAGACGAUCAGAUACCGUCGUAGUCUUAACCAUAAACUAUGCCGACUAGGGAUCGGACGGUGUUAUUUUUUGACCCGUUCGGCACCUUACGAGAAAUCAAAGUGCUUGGGCUCCAGGGGGAGUAUGGUCGCAAGGCUGAAACUUAAAGAAAUUGACGGAAGGGCACCACCAGGGGUGGAGCCUGCGGCUUAAUUUGACUCAACACGGGGAAACUCACCAGGUCCAGACACAAUGAGGAUUGACAGAUUGAGAGCUCUUUCUUGAUUUUGUGGGUGGUGGUGCAUGGCCGUUCUUAGUUGGUGGAGUGAUUUGUCUGCUUAAUUGCGAUAACGAACGAGACCUUAACCUGCUAAAUAGCCCGUAUUGCUUUGGCAGUACGCUGGCUUCUUAGAGGGACUAUCGGCUCAAGCCGAUGGAAGUUUGAGCAAUAACAG
rnacentral:rRNA from 1 species